rnacentral:misc_RNA from 1 species
UUUUUAUCAUUAAUUUGUAUAGUCAUCUAGGUGAGUAAACACAAUAGACUCCUAAUUAUUGGUAAAUCAUAAUCAGAUCAACAUUUGAAAUGUUAUUUGUUUUUAUAAGUUGGGCAUCCGAAGACACCACAAGAGAUAAAAAGUUUACACGGGACGCAAUAGUCAGAUCCAGAGUUUUACUUCCUUCACCUUCCAUUGUUUUUUAGCUUAUGUUAUAUUUUCAUCCCGGAGGAUUCCAACAUUAUACACAAGUAAAAGAGGUGUGGUAAUGAUCCUUCCGCAGGUUCACCUACGGAAA